AGCGAACGCUGGCGGCAGGCUUAACACAUGCAAGUCGAGCGGGCACUUCGGUGUCAGCGGCAGACGGGUGAGUAACACGUGGGAACGUACCCUUUGGUUCGGAAUAACGCUGGGAAACUAGCGCUAAUACCGGAUACGCCCUUUGGGGAAAGGCUUGCUUGCGGAGUAUUGGGCCGCGUCUGGUUUGCGAGUUGGUGGGGUAAUGGCCUACCAAGGCGACGGUCAGUAGCUGGUCUGAGAGGAUGAUCAACCACACUGGGACUGAGACACGGCCCAGACUCCUACGGGAGGCAGCAGUGGGGAAUAUUGGACAAUGGGCGCAAGCCUGAUCCAGCCAUGCCGCGUGAGUGAUGAAGGCCUUAGGGUUGUAAAGCUCUUUUGUCCGGGACGAUAAUGACGGUACCGGAAGAAUAAGCCCCGGCUAACUUCGUG
rnacentral:rRNA from 1 species